UACCAGCAACCCGAGUGGUCGGGACGUUUAUUGGGCCUAAAGCAUCCGUAGCCGGUCAUGCAAGUCUUCCGUUAAAUCCAGCCGCUCAACGGUUGGGCUGCGGAGGAUACUACGUGGCUAGGAGGCGGGAGAGGCAAGCGGUACUCAGUGGGUAGGGGUAAAAUCCUUUGAUCCAUUGAAGACCACCAGUGGCGAAGGCGGCUUGCCAGAACGCGCUCGACGGUGAGGGAUGAAAGCUGGGGGAGCAAACCGG
rnacentral:rRNA from 1 species